AAAACAGAAGGCUUCGGCAACCCAGGGCACUGCAGCCCGAUACUCCAGCCAGGACAUGCGUGCGCCCUCGUCUGCAUCCAGACUUGCGUGCAGCUCCGAAACCAGAAGAAAUGUUUAUUGAAUGUACUCCAAUAUGUGAUCUUUUCAAGGGAAGUUUGAAAAACAGCUUUGGCAUAAUAAGCAGCUCCAAUAGACUCCGCAGUUAAAAAGUCUCCCCAGAUGCCGAGAUCUAGUGGAGAUCAUGAGGAGAGAAUCAGGAAAAUAAAGAGAACCAAUAGAAAAAGAAAGCUGCUUUCCAAAUAAACCCAAGCCCUUAGAAUAAAGGCAGUUCACGGAGGCAGAUCAGAAGGACAAGCAGACUGCGGUCAGCGGGACAUGUUUCUGGACGGGAGGCUCGGCGGCGGACGGGAACGCGACUGCAGGUGGGUGGGCAGCAGCCGCGCGCUCGGGGGCCGAGGGGUCG